GGUCGGGUAGCUCCAAUCGGUAGAGCGGUGGCCUGAAGAGCCACGCGAUGGGGGUUCGAGUCCCUCUCCGACCACCA
rnacentral:tRNA from 1 species